rnacentral:rRNA from 1 species
GACGAACGCUGGCGGCGUGCUUAACACAUGCAAGUCGAACGGUAAGGCCCUUCGGGGUACACGAGUGGCGAACGGGUGAGUAACACGUGGGUGAUCUGCCCUGCACUUCGGGAUAAGCCUGGGAAACUGGGUCUAAUACCGGAUAGGACUCCUGCCUGCAUGGGUGGGGGUGGAAAGCUUUUGCGGUGUGGGAUGGGCCCGCGGCCUAUCAGCUUGUUGGUGGGGUGAUGGCCUACCAAGGCGACGACGGGUAGCCGGCCUGAGAGGGUGACCGGCCACACUGGGACUGAGAUACGGCCCAGACUCCGACGGGAGGCAGCAGUGGGGAAUAUUGCACAAUGGGCGCAAGCCUGAUGCAGCGGCGCCGCGUGAGGGAUGACGGCCUUCGGGUUGUAAACCUCUUUCAGCACAGACGAAGCGCAAGUGACGGUAUGUGCAGAAGAAGGACCGGCCAACUACGUGCCAGCCGCCGCGGUAA